rnacentral:lncRNA from 1 species
GUGAUGUCAAUAGUCCUCCUCUCAGAAAACAUGUUUGUUGCUGGGGGUGGGACUGAAGCUGGGCAAAAGCUACUGUGCUGUGUGUCUGGUGGGUACCCAGGAAGAGCUGCAGAGACUGGGAGGAGAAGGAGAAAGUCCAUCAUAUGAAUUAGGAUAGCAUCACUUCAUCCAGGAGAGAUUGUUAGGGGAUGCUGGAGGCAAACUGAAUCAUUGAAAGGAAUAUGACUUUGACCCCCUCUUCCUGACUUCCUCCAGAGCACUCUUGUGGGUCAUAGUAUCAAAAAACAGGCGGUCAGCUAGGUGGCUCAGUGGAUUGAGAUCUUGGUCUAAAAGCAAGAGGUCCUGGGUUCAAAUAUGAUCUCAGACACUUCCUAGCUGUAUGACCCUGGAACUUGACAGAACUUACAUAUCCAAGUGGGAAAUGUUGAAGGAUAUAACACAACUGGCCAGAUCUCAUGAUGAUGAAGGAUAUUGAAAUAUUACUGCCUCCAUUGAUUAUCCCAAGACAUGCCGACCUGUUUCCACCUUAUCUGAGAAUGUCAAUGUCUAAAGAGCACUGGUGGAAAGCAGAUCCCAGCAAGCACAAGGUAGAAGAAAACAAUCAGCACCACCAGAAGCCAAGUUCAUCUUCCACUUUGCCCAAAUCUGUCACAGAACCAUUAGUUUCAAAUGAAGCAAGCUGCCGCCAAAUACCAAACCAUCUAUCAGCCUUCAAAGCCCUCAGCCCCAUGAAGAAAGAAACAACCACAGAACAAACAUCCUCUGAAAAAGGGCCCAAAUUAAACUGUAAUUGUGUUUCAUUACAAACACAGGGAGAUAUAAUAGGAUUCCCCCAAAUCCAGAACAAGGAAAAUAAGAAAAGAGUACUGUGGAGAACUGAUAUCAUGCUAUUCAGAACCCAAGUCCACCACUGUGAACCUAAGGAAAUCCCUGGAGUCCUGGGAGUCAAGUGGGAAAUUCAGUUGUUUGGAUCAAUAAGCAUUUUCUGAACACCUACUGUGUAUCUCAACACAGACUAGCCUUCACUGUAUGAGAGACAGAAAGCAGAAGCUUCAAUGCUGCUUAGAAGAAAUUCAGAGUAACUGGGGAAACAGCUCAACUGUCUUAAAUACAUGAAACAAUUAGAGAAC